GAUGAACGCUGGCGGCGUGCCUAAUACAUGCAAGUCGAGCGAACGGACGAGAAGCUUGCUUUUCUGAUGUUAGCGGCGGACGGGUGAGUAACACGUGGAUAACCUACCUAUAAGACUGGGAUAACUUCGGGAAACCGGAGCUAAUACCGGAUAAUAUUUUGAACCGCAUGGUUCAAAAGUGAAAGACGGUCUUGCUGUCACUUAUAGAUGGAUCCGCGCUGCAUUAGCUAGUUGGUAAGGUAACGGCUUACCAAGGCAACGAUGCAUAGCCGACCUGAGAGGGGGAUCGGCCACACUGGAACUGAGACACGGUCCAGACUCCUACGGGAGGCAGCAGUAGGGAAUCUUCCGCAAUGGGCGAAAGCCUGACGGAGCAACGCCGCGUGAGUGAUGAAGGUCUGCGGAUCGUAAAACUCUGUUAUUAGGGAAGAACAUAUGUGUAAGUAACUGUGCACAUCUUGACGGUACCGAAUCAGAAAGCCACGGCUAACUACGG
rnacentral:rRNA from 1 species